AUAAACAAACGAAGGGCCCCAGCCGCCAGCGCCGCGUGCCGGCCUUGGGCCUCCUGCAGCGCGGGUCACGUAGGCAAGCCUCCAGCGGCGGCGGAGGGGGUGGGGGCGGCCGCCGGCCAAUAUUACUGGCCUCUACGCGCGACUAGUUCGGCAGUCGUCCGCCGAGCGUCGCUGCGCCGCGCCAACGGCCACAACAGGAUGGCUGUUGGCAAAAGAAUGGUGUGCGUUCCGGCCAGGUGACGACUCGCCUCCCCAUAGCAGCCAGAGCUAUUUUCCCACAAUUGCAUCUUGGUACCAACAUCAGGCAACUUCCCCAUAAUCGCACAGUGGUAUCGUCAACAAGCUGCUUCUCCGUACUCGCAACAUGGUAUCAACAACAGGCUGCUUCCCUAUGAUGACGCCAUGGUAUCAACAAGUAGCUGCUUCUCCGUAUUCGCAACAUGGUAUCAACAACAGGCUGCUUCUCUGUAGACACGAUUUUUCAGUGUGACAAGACUUCUUCUCCAAUUAUCAGCAACCGCCCUAGGCUAUGGCGUUGCACAGUUUCUUGUGCUGGACUGGACUCAAUGUGUCAACUGUGCUGCAAAAUGACCUCAUUCUCCGAAUUUGGCAAGAGACAUGGACUCAUUAACUAACACGCAAAUGAGCAAUACAGAGCGUGAGUGAGGGUAGACUCUUGACAAUAAGGACAACACAAAAUUCUACGUGCCAUAUUUACCACUUUCUUGUCUUCUAACACAUUAACUGGGAACAAUAUGGGAGAAAUCCACUGAUCAGUCAGAGAUUACUGAACCACAAGAAGAAGGCACAGUAUUUAACGCUGAUAUGAAGUGUUACAAACAACUUCACAACAUUAAAUGUGGCAUAAGAGCUCCGCGUCUUAAGCAAUGAAAGACUGAGAGGCUGACGUACAUUAAAAAAUUAAAAAAAAAAGCUCGACAGAAGAACGCAGUGCCAUAUUGACCUUAUUCUUGCCUCUUCAUAGCCCUGUAUAUAGUACCUGAGAACAGUAAAGACACAAAUUCUACUGUUCAUUCGCCAACCAUAGGUCAGAGUCUAGAAGCGACAAAUUUUCGCCCUACUGCAGGUGUUGUAGUGUCCAGUAUCAAUACCUGCAGUUGACGUAUAAUUAUAUACAGUCACAUAAUGAGAAAUGCAUGAGAAUACCAAUAAGACAAUUUGGCUGUGUGUGGAAUAUGAAUGCGAUCUCUACCCCACUUGAAAGUGGCUUCGCUGUACAGUGCACAUUGGCCCAGAAGAAGAAGAAGAAGAAAAAUAGAGAUCUCUUUGAGCUGGCCCAAUAACAACAAUAAGAGACAGACGUGGCAGAAAGUUUACCUUUACUGAGGAAUCCAUGUAGCUACAGGAAAGAGUCAGGGACUGUUCGUGUAUUCAUGCACGUUCCUCAGCCUGUGCUGAGUUCAACCCCUUGUCCAUUGAACAAAUCCAUCAUAACAAGUCUCCAUUCGUGACGCGGAAAGCAAGAUAUGGACGAAGUAAUGGGUGUAGACAAGGCUGAAGUAGAUCUGCACGUUGGUUCAGUCUUGAGAGUGUUAAUUACAUCUGUAAUAUCAUUUUAAUCCUACUGAAAUGACUUCUUUAAAUGCUACACUGUGCCUGAUAAAGAAAACCGAGUGAAUUCGCUUUUAAUUUAAAAUACGUCAACGUAGGUACUACCUCAGCAUAUGGCGUAAAGAGAAAUUUGUUCAGAAGCUAAACAGGGCCGGCAAGGAGAGGACUUUUAAAGAAGAGUGUCUCUUGUAUCACGCUACACCCAAACACACUGGUAUUGCCAUUGCUCUAAUUUGUGUGAGUCACCUGUCAAGAGUAAUGACUAGAAUAUUGCAUUUUAAUUGAAUUCUUAUGCUCUAUAUCAGCCAAAGGGAACGUCAUUGCUGAUAAUAUUGUGCCUUUCAAAGAAUCUUAAAAACAUGAGGUCACCCACAUCCUCUGUUCCUGAGACUGUUCAAUAUGCCACUCUUGCCACACCCAUCUUAUUAGAUGUAAGUGACUUCUUGAAUUCAGGUGAUAAAACUAUGAAGAGGCUACAACAUGACAAGAAAAUUAGUUCAGUAUCCACUAAUAUGCAACAUCAAGAGGCUAUCAAGAGAGAGGCUAUUGUAAUAAGAGGCUACUUCACUACCCACCAACAGUCCAGGUGACAUCAUGAUUGUGUGCAUCAACCAGUAAUUGUGACCAACCUUGUUUCUGUUUGUGAUGCAGAAAUGUUUCUUCAAGAUUCGUGAGUGCCAGGGGAACAGAAGUUUUAAUGUACAGAACAUUAACUGUGUGGAAUAAUUUCUUUGCUUCGUGACGCGAUAUGUUCAAGGUGCCAAACUCAUCAUUUUCUCGUAGCAGUAGCUUUAAGUUCGCUUAUUGUUCUUGAUUCACAUAACCGCCUGCAAAACGAAGAGGCUAUUCUGAGGCAAGAUAGUUCACUAAGUGGUAUAAACUGUACUCUAUAUGUGAGUCUUAGAAUGUGUUCACUGGAACAUUUCUCAACUCAGUGUGGAUUCUGUAAUGGUUUACUGAGGCUCAAUAAUAAAAGCAACAUCUUAAGCAAUGUAGGCAAAACAUCGAUGUAGGAGAAAAAUGUAGUGUUUUCAAAAUAGAUGUAACUGGAAAUAUCUAAUUGUACUAUCAGAAGUGAAAUUUUACCACACUCUUGUAAAAAUGAGUUGUCUGUACAACAUAGUCUAAAGUGGGCGCAAAAAAAAGUGAAUUUUUCAUUCUGAGCAUGUGUAACAAUGGAAAAGAAACGUAAUAGUAGAACUGCUCGUCACUUUAAGUACCUGUAACUCAGAAAGAGAAGAUCAGUAGAAGGCUAUCUGAUAGGACAUUCACGUACAAUUGGCAAAAUCUCAACUCUUCAUAUGUUUUCUGUGGCAUGGCUUCUGUCAUCAGUACAAAGGAAAACUCUCAAACAAACAAAAAAAAAAGCUUAUUGAAUUUUACAGAAGCAUAAGAAUUUAAUUUACUCGCUCACUUUGCAGGACCACACGUUAAGCACAGCACUCAUUUAUCUCACCUUAUUAACUACCGCAUAUGAUACAGACUGAGAACGACUUAGGAACAAGUCCAUGUUUUUUUAAUAGUGAUAAUAAUGUUCUGUGAGUCUAGUGCCGAUAGCUUUAAAGACUGUAAUAACACACCAACAGUACAAAGAUAGAAUCUGUUUAAAUUAAGACGUAUUUUUCAUCAUCCCAUCGUAUACUUGUACAGCUACCCUAGAUUAAUUUUAAAGUAAUAUUUGUGAUCGAUCACGCUCUAAUAAUAUGUAACUAAAUAAUUUUAGCUUGUAUAAACAAAGGUUCUCUACAGUCAUAAAACGACAGAGUAGCACUGGAAUGAGCUGCGAGCAAAUAUUUCAGUACCCAGACGUUUUUAUAAUCUUUCUUCUUUUCCCUUGCUCCAUGUCCUGUAGGCCCAUUUUCUAUGAUGUGUGAUGCCACUAAGUUAUACAACUGAAAUUUAUUGCUUUCUGCUCCCUUCACCUCUGUGCCAGCUGUUACAGCUGCAGAUGUAACAACUGUUUCAGUGGUGAGGUGGACAUAAUUUUUCCCCAGUCGGAUUCUUUUUGGGUUUUCAAUUCAGUCUGGACAGUGACGACUUUACUAUAGAUUCUUCUCAUCAUAAUACUGGCAGUGCAUCACCGGAGUAGCUUUUGAAAGAAGCAGGAAGUAUGGAGCAGACAUCUAGCAUAACAUCGCUCUUCUUGGGAAUAACAGCGAAUGAUUUCUGAGAGUGCAGUGAGGAAAUGUUAUGCGGAUCUGCACCUACAUUACUCCAAUUUGAGGCACUUUCCUGUUUCUACUUAUGAUAUAAAAUAACUGCAAAGACAAUGGAAGGAAUUUCUUCUAUGAAUGUCAGACUGUAUACCAUUGCAAUUUACAUUGUGUACAAGUCAUUCAAUUCAUAAAACAAUAUUGUGACAUACUCAGCUAAUUGUGAUUAAUCCCCACGUAUAUCAGUCAUUUCUUGUUUCAUUUCAUCAGAGCUCUCUGUGUGUAAGUAAUGUAUUUUUAUUUACAAAUGAAGUCUAUCUAAACAGAUACUCCAACAGACCUUAACUUUAUAAUUAUUGAGCAAACAAGUUGAAAAUCACGGAAUCAUUCAAGCAGAAAUUUUCACUUUACGUUUUCCUUUUCAUCUACAAAGCUAAAUCGAUCUUGGCUAAAGAAUGGAAUCAGUUCAUCACAUGCUUAUGGGUUAAACAGAAAAUGUGUUCUUUGUGAGCAAUUUUCUAUCUACCCUUCCCUUGUUUCUGAGUUUAUUUCAGAAGAUUUCCUAGAGAGAUGGUUAGUGCUUCACAUGUUUUCAUUUAUAAUGUACAGUAAACCUUAUGACGUAUUACUUUCACCUAUCACAAAAUAAACUGCAAUUUUCUCAGUAUUUUGAUAACAUCAUCAAACAACACAGUAAAUUGUAUGUUUUUUCCAUAACGUGUGGAGAAAUCUUGCAGUUUAACUGUACUUUCAUUAAAUUUUGGACUUAUCUCGAUUAAAAAAGCUUUAUCAGUGGUAGUAUGCUAAUUGUUGAUGACCAAUGUAAAAAUGAGUGGCUUGAGUAGUGGUUCACCUUGUCAGUUUCUCGGUUCGAUAUGCACUGCAGUAUCAUGAUGAAUUCUCAAAUGAGUACUAUAAAGAAUUGUAUGUAGUUGUGAUAAAUGUGUCAUAUUAGUAGUUGUUUGGAAUAUGAAGUGAUACAUCAAAAGUUCUUUCUUUGAACAACAUUUUAAAUACUUUGCUUCCUUGCAAGGAUCAAUAAAUUAUUAGGACUUCUAUUAUAAGCUUGAAGCACAUUGUAGAAAAUGUGGGUACUCUUCUCAGAAUGGUUCUCGUGGUUCAUCCUCAGCGAACAUCCAGAAGAGGUGAGGUAUGUAGAAAUAUUUUCAGUGCAUUUCCUAAACUGUUUGUGUAAUUAUCUUUUUAAGAUUUCUACUUUUUGAUUUAAUUGUUCCGCGACCUGACAGAAUCAGAAAAAAUGAGAAGACUGAGCCUGUCACAGUCCAUUUGUUUUUUUCAAGGCUGGAAAAUCUUUCUUCACACUUCACCGAUUUCUGCACUGGCUACUGUUGAAAUUCUCUUCCACAUUAUAUGAUGAAUUAGCAUAUUUAUUUUCAAUAUACUACUGUGUAAUGUUGCUAUCUUUACAUUCAUCGUUUGCAUACAAACAUAAUCAUCUUUCUUUGUUUUUAUGGUGGCCAGCAGUGAUUACAUGAUGUGUAAACGAGAACGAAGACUGAUUAACACCGAAAGUGCAAAAUUAGAUCAUUUCCUUUGGUACAAAAUGGUUUGUAUAAUAGUAGCAUUGUAGUGCUGUUGAUUUUCGUGCAAGUAAGAAUAAUAUUUGUACAGUCACAAGCUCCAUUUAUUUACAAGCAGGUCAUACGAGAUAUUGGCUAUGAUUGUGAUAUAAUAAAUUUUGAUGUUUUUGUGGUUUUUAAAUGUUUAGUUAAGUUUAAUUUGAAGCAUAUCUGAGAAUGAUGUUAUGAAGUAUGUAGUGUAUAGAAUGUUGUAAUGGAUAAACUGAAUUUAGCUGCAUAGGUGCUUUAAGUAAGAGAAUGUCAUCAUAUAUUCAUCAUUUACGAUAUCACUUACUAACUUUUGUUAAUCUACUUUGAGUUGCAAAUUCCUCAGGUCGAGUGGACUAUAGAAUAAGCAAUCUUGUACCUGUUAUAAUGAAAUAGAAACAGCAUCAUUUCGUCAUACAAGUGUCAUGAAGUGAUACAUUGAUUUCUUUGUGUAACAUUUCGCUACUGCUUUUCAUCAUUGCUUGCAUUGUGUUUUCCAAUACUGACAUACUAGAUUAAAAAAUAACUUUAUGUGUAUUGUAGACUUAAGAACCUGUAAAAAAUGCCAAUGGCUCGAUAUUUGGCUUUAUCUCGUAAACGAAUGUAAUUUUUUUUAAAAUGGGCAAGUGAGUUAGUACACCUGAUUAAUGUGCCCUGAUCUCAUUAUUAGUAGGAAGUUUUGGUUUCGUUUUCAGAAUGAAUGAGGAAAGAAUCGAAGAUUGCUUGUGAGAGUGGUACUACCGUGUCUUUCAAAGUAAAUUUAAGAGUCGAAUAUAUUUUUGUAACUAAUAACGGAACAUUAAGUUUCUGAAUGGUGUCUUCCAGAAUAAUUUGGCCCAAUGAUACUCGAAUUACUGUUCACUUACAUAGUAAACAAAAUCUGUAUUUGGACAGCAGAUUUUGUCGAAAAAAGUGACAGUAUAGUGAUGUAGCUACUCUGUGCAUUCACGUUAUGUGUACAGCUCCAUACAUCAGAUAAGUCCUUAGGUUUUAUAUUCAUGUGCAGUCGUAUCAGUAUGCAUUAAACAGAUAACGGCAGUACCUUUAUCGGCGAAAUUUACAUUUAGAAUCUGAAGAGUAGAACAAUGAAUAAAGCUCUAUGUUUGUGUUAAUGAAUUGUUGUUUCUUAGACUAACAUAAUGUCUAAUAUUCAUCUGCAAAGUCCAUCAAUGACAGUAUCAAGGAGAAGCAGCCUGUUCCAAUACCUGCGAAGUACAAUGUUGAUAAAACAUAAUAAAACCAUAAUGAUGUCUUUUUAACAGUAAUGGAUCUUUUAUGUAAAUUUUCUGCUGUACAUUUUCAGAAAUAAAGAUACUUAUUUGGGA